UACGAAGGGGGCUAGCGUUGCUCGGAAUCACUGGGCGUAAAGGGCGCGUAGGCGGCCAUUCAAGUCGGAGGUGAAAGCCCAGGGCUCAACCCUGGAAUUGCCCUCGAUACUGUUUGGCUAGAGACCGGAAGAGGUAGGUGGAACUGCGAGUGUAGAGGUGAAAUUCGUAGAUAUUCGCAAGAACACCAGUGGCGAAGGCGGCUUACUGGUCCGGUUCUGACGCUGAGGCGCGAAAGCGUGGGGAGCAAACAGG
rnacentral:rRNA from 1 species